rnacentral:rRNA from 1 species
UACGUAGGGGCCUAGCGUUGUCCGGAUUUAUUGGGCGUAAAGAGCCCGUAGGCGGUUUGGUGAGUCGGGUGUGAAAUCUCCACGCUCAACGUGGAGGGGCCACCCGAUACUGCCAUGACUAGAGUCCGGUAGGGGAGUGUGGAAUUCCCGGUGUAGUGGUGAAAUGCGUAGAGAUCGGGAGGAACACCUGUGGCGAAGGCGGCUCGCUGGGCCGGUCCUGACGCUGAGACGCGAAGGCGUGGGGAGCGAACGGG